rnacentral:rRNA from 1 species
AUUGAACGCUGGCGGCAUGCUUUACACAUGCAAGUCGAACGGCAGCGCCGUCUUCGGUUUGGCGGCGAGUGGCGAACGGGUGAGUAAUACAUCUGAACGUACUCCGCUUGAGGGUGUAAUUAGUUGAAAGAUUAGCUAAUACUGCCGACGACGUGCGGGUGCUAGAUGGGGGUGGCAAGGCCGUUCGCACCAGGGGCGAUCGAUGCCCGAUUAGCUAGCUGGUGGGCUAAAGACCCACCAAGCCGACGAUCAGCAGCUGGCCUGUGAGGACGAUCAGCCACACUGGGACUGGGACAGGGACAAGAGGCCUACGGGAGGCAGCAGUGGGGAAUGUUAGACAAUAGUGGCAAACCUGAUACAACGGUGCCGCGUGUGUGGAGAAGGCGCUCGGGUUGUAAAGCACGUUUGUGCGGAAAGAAAUCGCGCUGGUUAAUACCUAGCGUGGGUGACGGUACCGGAAGAAUAAGCACCGGCUAACUACGUG